UGCCAGCAGCCGCGGUAAUACGGAGGGUGCGAGCGUUAAUCGGAAUUACUGGGCGUAAAGCGCGCGUAGGCGGCGCGUUAAGUCAGAUGUGAAAGCCCCGGGCUUAACCUGGGAAUGGCAUUUGAAACUGGCGUGCUAGAGUGUGACAGAGGGUUGAGGAAUUCCCGGUGUAGCGGUGAAAUGCGUAGAGAUCGGGAGGAACACCAAUGGCGAAGGCAACAGCCUGGGUCAACACUGACGCUGAGGUGCGAAAGCUAGGGUAGCGAACGGGAUUAGAUA
rnacentral:rRNA from 1 species